CGGGUGAGUAAUACAUAAGUAACCUGCCCUAGACAGGGGGAUAACUAUUGGAAACGAUAGCUAAGACCGCAUAGGUACGGACACUGCAUGGUGACCGUAUUAAAAGUGCCUCAAAGUACUGGUAGAGGAUGGACUUAUGGCGCAUUAGCUGGUUGGCGGGGUAACGGCCCACCAAGGCGACGAUGCGUAGCCGACCUGAGAGGGUGACCGGCCACACUGGGACUGAGACACGGCCCAG
rnacentral:rRNA from 1 species